UACGUAGGGUGCGAGCGUUAAUCGGAAUUACUGGGCGUAAAGCGUGCGCAGGCGGUUUUGUAAGCCAGGUGUGAAAUCCCCGGGCUCAACCUGGGAAUGGCAUUUGGGACUGCAAGGCUGGAGUGCGGCAGAGGAGACUGGAAUUCCUGGUGUAGCAGUGAAAUGCGUAGAUAUCAGGAGGAACACCGAUGGCGAAGGCGACUCUCUGGUCUGUAACUGACGCUGAGGCGCGAAAGCGUGGGAGCAAACAGG
rnacentral:rRNA from 1 species